UUGCUCACGCCCCCUCCCCAAAUCGCCCCGUCCCAAAAUCCCCGGCCCGCCUGCUCCCCCAGGUGCGCCGCGCUUCCCUGCUUCCACCUCCCUCCCAGGCUUGCCGCGCAAAAGCGCUGGGAGGGAGGGAGAAGCGAGUAGCUGCACUUGGAGGAGGCGGAGCAGAGGUGGUGAUCCGAACAGUCGAAGAAGCAGAGUAGUGUUGGGGUGCAUAGCUGGUAUUGAUUCUGAUAACAAGAUUCCUCUCCUGACUGACUGGAUCAGAGACACCCUUUACACUCCAUGUGCUUUAAACCUUUGAUUUCCAGGGGCUUUUCUACAGAUCAUCAAGCAAAACAGUAGAGACAGGAUGGCUUAAAAGCAGCUGGAGAUGAGCUAUUCGGCCAC